CCUCCUUUCUUUCUCCCCUCGCUCUCCGGCGCCGGCACGCCUCCCCUCUCCUCCUCCCCUCCCCGCUCAAUCCCAUGGCGAACCCCGUCGCCUCCUCUCUCCUCCAUCCCUCCUGCGCGCGUCGGCCACCUACUUCCGGCAGAGCUCGACCCCCACCCCCAAGCGUCGCUCCUCCACCCUCUCCCAAGCCCCUCGAUCCCAGAUCCCCGUCUCCAAGUCACCCUCUCCCUCCCUCAGAUCUCGAUCCGCCGCCGCCCACCAUCGACGACCCUCACCAUAGACGAGAUCGAGCUUCUCCCUCCCUCCCGUUCUCCCCUAGCCUUAUCCACUCCGAGCCAACCAACCACUCCGGACCUCUCCUCCCCCACCCAGCCUUCUUCGUCUCCACCUCCACCACAGGUUCCAGGAGAGCUCGCCUCGCCUUGCUGCUGCCUGAAGCCACCAGCGGAGGCACGCCGGAGGGAGCAUGAAUGUCUCCGUCGUGUCCCGGAGCGGCCGCGAGGUCGUCAAGGGCGGCAUCGAGCUCAAGGACUCGAUACGCGCCCGCCCGCCUGCUCUUCCUUCUGCGCCGCGGGCCGGCGGAGGGCUUCGCUCUCGGCUGGCCUGGGGUUUGAUUAAGAUCUCUACUAGAGCGGAGUUUCCAAGCUCGACCUGACCGUUCUUCCCGUGGUUCCCGUUUUCUCUGCAGGCCAAGGUCGCGGAUCUGCAGGAAGCCAUCCAUGCCAAGACUAAGAAGUAUUAUCCUGCUAGGCGACGGCCCACCCUCCCUGCACAACCUGGAAAAUCUGGAAAGCCAAUUGUCCUCAAUCAAAAGGCCAGCCUAUCGGAAUACUGCGAGAAGGGUUACAGGCGGAGCAGCGGGUGGGGGAGCGAAAUCAGGCGAUGGCCAGCAAGUCAAGGCCGUCACGACGGCUGGUGGCGCAACAUGCGACUAUGGCGGACCUAGUUCUGGAGACCCCAUCCGCGCGCGUCCAGGCAGGUUGCGACCGCGGUCGCCCUCGUACGUCAGUCGGCGGCAUCGGAGCCAUGUCAGAGCCAAUUGCUGGGCAUGUCACCGAGACUGACCAAGACGCCGCGGCUGCAAGUGCUGGGCAUGUCGCCAAGAAGACCAACAAGCAGUACUAGCUCUGAGUUCCCAAAAUGCCUGACUCCAACGGCAACAGCAUGAAACACACGGAGGAUAAUGGCCUCUUCACCGACUCCGGCCCCGUCCUCCCCGACUCAUGGUCGUGGCCCUGUGCACGAUAGUGCCCUCCCUCUUUUACUUCUACUACCUACUGUUGAUGUUGUUGCUGAUUGGUCUAUGCACGGUACAAUGGGAGCAAGCUCAUCUUCAAUCCCUAGCUACUGCAUGACUGCCGGGGUGCAUACUCCCUACAGUUCCUCGAGCAUCUGGACCUCUUAUUGUAGUAGCUGGUGAAGUGCGAAUCCAAGGACGAAGCUGUGAAGCAUAUCAACAAAGAGUAGCAUAUUAUGUGUUGUAAUUGUAGGCAUAUCUGGGUUGUAAUAUACUGUAACAAUUGUAAUAGACUAAUAUAGUGUUGUUUUGGAUGAAUUUCA